AUGGAGAUGUCCUUCUGUAAUGAAAAGACCAUGGAGAUGUCCCUCUGUAAUGAAGACCAUGAGAUGUCCUUCUGUAAUGAAGACCCGGAGAUGUCCUUCUGUAAUGAAAAGACCAUGGAGAUGUCCUUCUGUAGUGAAAAGACCAUGGAGAUGUCCUUCUGUAAUGAAAAGACCAUGGAGAUGUCCCUCGUAAUGAAGACCAUGGAGAUGUCCUUCGUAAUGAAGACCAUGGAGAUGUCCUUCUGUAGUGAAAACCAUGGAGAUGUCCCCCUCUAUGAAAUCCAUGGAGAUGUCCCUGUAGUGUUCGUGGCAAGGAAUAAUUAACUACAUCAUCUCCACCCCUCAACCAGUAUUCUACAAGAGCCAGAACACAGGGACAACAGACCACACCAGACUGACAUUGCAGAUGGCUGAAGGCAGUCAUCAAUGAUCUUGGACCAAAAGGUAUGUGAGAAGAAUAAAAGAGAACCACAUUGAAGCUGCCCAGCAACCCCUUGGGGUGGUGUUUGUCAUCAUGUUGGCAGUCUCCUGGAGGGGAAGGAGUCUCUCCAAGGAAUGGCCAUAUCACAGUCUGCCGAUAUGGACAGUCCCAUCAAGAGGAUCCUCCUGGAUAAGGUAUUUUGGGG
rnacentral:lncRNA from 1 species